rnacentral:rRNA from 1 species
AUGUUGGCAUUCAUCCAUAGAGAUGGUCUCGACAAGGAUCAGUUUGGGGAUCUAGAAUCCUUGGGUUAUCCCAAGCCUUUAAAUGAUGGCAUGAUCUUGGUUAACACUUUUGAAGAGCCUUUCGGCGAUGAAUGUGGUGAAGGUGUUUGGAGUGAACUAAGUGAAACAACUUGUGACAUAUUAAAGAGAAAUAUUGUAGCACUUGCUUCAUUCUGUGGAGGCAAGAGAUUUUUUGCAUGCACGGGUCUUUUUAUUGAAUGGAAGGGGUUUACAACAAUCUUGACUUCAGCGAGCUUGCUUAGAGAAUCUGGUUGUAAAGAUCAGAAGAUUGUUAAAAACUUGAGGAUUGAAGUGUUGCUUCCAAACAAAGGUCGCGUGGAAGGGAAAUUACAACAUGUUAGUUUACAUUACAAUGUCGCUCUGGUCAGCGUCAAGGAUUUUUGUGCUAGCCAACCAGCAGUGAAAGUUGAACAUCGGUGGCCUGAUUCUGGUAAAGUACUAGCUGCCGGGUGCUGCUUCAGUUCCGGCAGACCGAUGGCUGCAAGAGGGCAAAAGUAUGGCAGGCCGAAUGUCCAAUUUGAUUGCAAAUAUCUUGGAUACUCUACUUGCAAAAUCACCAAGGCUGGGAUUGGAGGUCCCCUUGUUGAUCUUGAUGGGAAAUUUGUCGGCAUGAACUUCUACGACAAGUACGUAGGUCACACACCGUACCUGUCAUGGCGGGAGAUUGUCCCUCUCCUGGAAUAUUUUGAGACAAAAGGGUAUGGUCUAGAUUUCAUUUUGGGUAUUCAAGUGCCUGUCGUGUGUUGUAUUUAG